CUCCUCAGUGAGACCGCUACUGCCCCAGUCUGAUCUCCAUGACUGAGUGGUUCCCUCUGAGGCC
rnacentral:snoRNA from 1 species